rnacentral:rRNA from 1 species
UGGUUUGAUCCUGGCUCAGGAUGAAUGCUGGCGGCGUGCCUUAGGCAUGCAAGUCAAGGGGGUUCCGUAAGGACAACCGGCAGACGGGUGAGUAACGCGUAGGAAUCUACCUCUAGGUGGAACAUAGCCAUCCGAAAGGAUGGGUAAUUUUCCAUAGUCUCGUAAGAGUAAAGGACUUAACGGUCCGCCAAGAGAGGAGCCUGCGUCCUAUCAGCUUGUUGGUGGGGUAAAAGCCUACCAAGGCGAUGACGGGUAGCUGGACUGAGAGGUCGAUCAGCCACAACUGCACUGAAACACGGGCAGUACAUCUACGGAUGGCAGCAACCGGGAAUAUUGCGCAAUGGGGGAAACCCUGACGCAGCGACGCCGCGUGAAGGAAGAAGGCCUAUGGGUCGUAAACUUCUUUUGAUAAGCCGUUCACAGCUUAUAGAAUAAGCCUCUACUAACUACGUGCCAGAGGUCUCGGUAAUACGUAGGAGGCAAGCAUUAUCCGGAUUCAUUGGGCGUAAAGUGUGCGUAGGCGGACUGAUGUGUCGUAUUCUAAAGACCAAGGCUUAACCUCGGAUCUGGGUACGAAACUGUCAGUCUUGAGGAUUGUUAGGGGUGCUAGAACAGUUAGUGUAGCAGUGAAAUGCGUUGAUAUUAACUGGAAUACCAAAGGCGAAGGCAAGCACCUGGGAUUUUCCUGACGCUGAGGCACGAAAGCUAGGGUAGCGAAACAGAUUAGAUACCUGUGUAGUCCUAGCCGUAAACGAUGUCCGCUAGCUAUCACUCACGGAACUAAUGAUUUAUGAUUAGCGAUUGAUGAUUAAUGAGUUAAUAAAUUCUUUAAUCUUUAAUCAUAAUUCUUUAAUCGUUAGCUGCGUGAGUGGUGGUGUAAGCUAACGCGUUAAGCGGACCCGCCUGGGGAGUACGGUCGCAAGACUAAAACUCAAAGGAAUUGACGGGGGCCCGCACAACCUGUGGAGCGUGUGGUUUAAUUCGAGACAAAACGAAAAACCUCACCAGGGUUUGACAUACUAUCGUACAUUUCCCAAGAAACUGGGAGAAAUCCGUAAGGAUGAUAGUACAGGUGCUGCAUGGCUGUCGUCAGCUCGUGCCGUGAGGUGUUCCCUUAAGUGGGGAAAUGAGCGCAACCCCCGCCAAAUGUUAAAUAUUCAUUUGGGACUANUNCUCCUUUCGGCAGGGGGGAAGGAGGGGAAGACGUCAAGUCAGCACGGCCCUUAUACCCUGGGCUACACACACACUACAAUGGCGAAAAACAACGAGUUGCCAACUAGCAAUAGUGAGCUAAUCUCUUAAAUUUCGUCUCAGUUCAGAUUGGGGUCUGAAAUUCGACCCCAUGAAGUCGGAAUAGGUAGUAAUCGCAGAUCAGCAUGCUGCGGUGAAUACGUUCUCGGGUCUUGUACACACCGCCCGUCAAGGCAGCAAAGUCGGGAGUGGCCGAACACUUCGCAAGAGGUGGAGGCCAAAUUCGGCGAUGAAGCUUAAGUCGUAACAAGGUAGCCG